rnacentral:rRNA from 1 species
CGGAAUACCCCACCGAAAGGUGAGCUAAUACCGGAUACGUUUAUCUUGAUGCGAAUGAUGAUAAAGAAAGGUGGCCUCUUCUUGAAAGCUACUGUACAGGGACGAGCUUGCGUACCAUUAGCUAGUUGGUAGGGUAAUAGCCUACCAAGGCGACGAUGGUUAGCUGGUCUGAGAGGAUGGCCAGCCACACUGGAACUGAGACACGGUCCAGACUCCUACGGGAGGCAGCAGUGGGGAAUCUUGCGCAAUGGGGGAAACCUUGACGCAGCAACGCCGCGUGGGUGAUGAAGGCCUUCGGGUCGUAAAGCCCUGUCAGGUGGGAAGAAACGUAUCGGUGCUAAUACCACCGAUAUUUGACGGUACUACCGGAGGAAGCACCGGCUAACUCCGUGCCAGCAGCCGCGGUAAUACGGAGGGUGCAAGCGUUGUUCGGAAUUACUGGGCGUAAAGCGCGUGUAGGCGGUUGGGUAAGUCGGUUGUGAAAUCCUCUGGCUCAACCAGAGAAUGGCAGCCGAAACUGCACGUCUUGAGUCCAGCAGAGGGAAUCGGAAUCCUAGGUGUAGCGGUGAAAUGCGUAGAUAUCUAGGAGAACACCAGUGGCGAAGGCGGAUUCCUGGGCUGGUACUGACGCUGAGCUGCGAAAGCGUGGGGAGCGAACAAGAUUAGAUACCCUGGUAGUCCACGCCGUAAACGAUGGGUACUAGGUGUUGGAGGACAUUGACCCCUCCAGUGCCGUAGCUAACGCACUAAGUACCCCGCCUGGGGAGUACGACCGCAAGGUUGAAACUCAAAGGAAUUGACGG